UGGAGUUUGCAGAAAACUAUUUGAUCUUAUCUUUUUAUGAAUUUUUAAAAUAUGUCUGUAUAGAAAUGUAAAUAGCAUUUGUCAUGAUUUUGGUAUGCAAUUAUUAAAAAAUGAUACAGUAAAGCAACAUGAAAAUCACCGCAGUGGUACUUGGGAAGAUGCAGAACAAGAAUUUGCAGAAAACAUUUUUUUAUUUAUUUUUAAUUUGCUUAUGAAUUUUGUAAAAUAUGUAUACCAACACCAAGUGUCUCAGGCCAAAACAUGCAUAAAACAUUUUACAAAAACAUUUUACAAACCCAUUGCAAGUGUUUUAUUGAAAGUUUAAUACACUGAAUACAAUUAAAAAAUAAAAUAACAUUAAAUAAAAAGUACCUGGUAUAAUGUGUUUUUUUAAUCAGCCUAUUAUUAUCGAUUAAUUGACUGUAGUUUCAGUUUGAUACGUGAUCCGAGCUAUAGAGGCUAACAAUUAGAGGUAAGCUAUAGAUUUGAGCUUUUAUUAAUGAACGUUGGAGCUUUUAAGCAUCUUUUAUGUGUAGAUGAGCGGCUUUGAUAGUUUUGUAAAUGUUUUGCUGAUACUUUGUCAAUAGUCACUAUGGAAGUCACUAUAAGCUAAUUAAUUUAACCUAAAAGUCUUCACUGUGGGGUCAAUCGGUGACGUCACUUACAGUACAUGAACUAAUGUUUCAAACACGUUUUGAACUUUCAUUGCAAACAAAUAUUGAUAAAUUGUACUGUGAUUUUAGGAGCGUCAGAAAAAAACCCUAAAACAGGGAAAGUUACAAGAAAAUUUGUAAUGUGAGCUGCUGACAGAGAUGCAGGAAACACAGAGAUGGAGCGGAGCAAAUCUCCUGUCGAAGAACAUCUCCAAAGCGCCAUGAACCAUCUGACUAGGCAAUUCGUGAACACAGAUAACCUGGACAGAAGUCGGUUCUAGAUCCAGCCUCCACACCAGACUUCUCACUCACAAGGAUUGCUAUCUACUAGUUAUUAUGUGUACUCUUCAGACUUAGGUUCAUGCAGAUAUUAUUCAGGGACAUGAACACUUGAAUAUUGCAAAAAUAGAGAAAUUACCUUAUUUAAGAAUUUUGUGUUAAUUGCGUGAACAUUAAAAAAAUAUAUAUUUACUUUUACUGUUUUUUGUUUUGUUUUCCAAAGCACCUAAAGCCAAUUAACACUGCCAUACUCCAACAGGGUGAACACACUGACCAAGCAAAACAAAUAAGCAUGUUUUUU